rnacentral:rRNA from 1 species
GAUGAACGCUGGCGGCGUGCCUAAUACAUGCAAGUCGAGCGAACAGACGAGGAUCUUGCUCCUCUGACGCUAGCGGCGGACGGGUGAGUAAAACGUGGAUAACCUACCUAUAAGACUGGGAUAACUUCGGGAAACCGGAGCUAAUCCCGGUUAUCAGAUUGAACCGCAUGGUUCAAUAGUGAAAGACGGUCUUGUUGUCACUUAUAGAUGGAUCCGCGCUGCAUUAGCAAGUUGGUAAGGUAACGGCUAUCCAAUGCAACGACGCAUAGCCGACCUGAGAGGGUGGUGGGCCAGACUGGAACUGAUACACGGUCCACACUCCUACGGGAGGCAGCAGUAGGGAAUCUUCCGGAAUGGGCGAAAGCCUGCCGAAGCAGCGCCGCGGGAUUGAUGAAGGUCUUCGGAUGGUAAAACUCUGUUAUUGGGGAAGAACAAAUGUGUAAGUAACUAUGCACGUCUUGAGGGUACCUAAUCAGAAAGCCACGGCUAACUACGUG